rnacentral:lncRNA from 1 species
CGAGAUUAAGCUUGGCACUUACUGAGUACCGCUGCAAUGUACUCAUGCCUCUUCUGCGCACGUUUUCCAUGUGCAGAUCCAAGUACCUCACCAUAGGCGCAUUAUCACCGAGGCAGAGAGAUCUAGCAGAGACUCGAGGUAUAUCUGCAGCGUCCGGAGACCGAAGAAUUUCCUUCCUAUUCUAUCAUAUAGUCAGCUAGUUGUUCCUGUUUUUCUUUGAUGUAGACAUUUUCGGAGUUAAAUCCGUACUAUAAACUUUCUUAGCCUGUGUCGCCUGUGAGAUUCCGCAUUUUGGGAUUUUGCUUCAUCGUUGUGGUGUGAAGUGUAU